UACGAAGGGGGCUAGCGUUGCUCGGAAUGACUGGGCGUAAAGGGCGCGUAGGCGGACGGCUUUGUCGGGCGUGAAAUCCCAGGGCUCAACCCUGGAACUGCCUUUGAUACUGUCGAUCUGGAGUAUGGAAGAGGUGAGUGGAAUUCCGAGUGUAGAGGUGAAAUUCGUAGAUAUUCGGAGGAACACCAGUGGCGAAGGCGGCUCACUGGUCCAUUACUGACGCUGAGGUGCGAAAGCGUGGGGAGCAAACAGG
rnacentral:rRNA from 1 species